rnacentral:lncRNA from 10 species
CUUGCCUGCAAACCUUUACUUCUGAAAUGACUUCCACGGCUGGGACGGGAACCUUCCACCCACAGCUAUGCCUCUGAUUGGUGAAUGGUGAAGGUGCCUGUCUAACUUUUCUGUAAAAAGAACCAGCUGCCUCCAGGCAGCCAGCCCUCAAGCAUCACUUACAGGACCAGAGGGACAAGACAUGACUGUGAUGAGGAGCUGCUUUCGCCAAUUUAACACCAAGAAGAAUUGAGGCUGCUUGGGAGGAAGGCCAGGAGGAACACGAGACUGAGAGAUGAAUUUUCAACAGAGGCUGCAAAGCCUGUGGACUUUAGCCAGCAAGCUCAGGAUAACAUCACGAGUGCCCGGCUGCUGCAGCAGGAGGUUCUGCAGAACGUCUCGGAUGCUGAGAGCUGUUACCUUGUCCACACCCUGCUGGAGUUCUACUUGAAAACUGUUUUCAAAAACUACCACAAUAGAACAGUUGAAGUCAGGACUCUGAAGUCAUUCUCUACUCUGGCCAACAACUUUGUUCUCAUCGUGUCACAACUGCAACCCAGUCAAGAAAAUGAGAUGUUUUCCAUCAGAGACAGUGCACACAGGCGGUUUCUGCUAUUCCGGAGAGCAUUCAAACAGUUGGACGUAGAAGCAGCUCUGACCAAAGCCCUUGGGGAAGUGGACAUUCUUCUGACCUGGAUGCAGAAAUUCUACAAGCUCUGAAUGUCUAGACCAGGACCUCCCUCCCCCUGGCACUGGUUUGUUCCCUGUGUCAUUUCAAACAGUCUCCCUUCCUAUGCUGUUCACUGGACACUUCACGCCCUUGGCCAUGGGUCCCAUUCUUGGCCCAGGAUUAUUGUCAAAGAAGUCAUUCUUUAAGCAGCGCCAGUGACAGUCAGGGAAGGUGCCUCUGGAUGCUGUGAAGAGUCUACAGAGAAGAUUCUUGUAUUUAUUACAACUCUAUUUAAUUAAUGUCAGUAUUUCAACUGAAGUUCUAUUUAUUUGUGAGACUGUAAGUUACAUGAAGGCAGCAGAAUAUUGUGCCCCAUGCUUCUUUACCCCUCACAAUCCUUGCCACAGUGUGGGGCAGUGGAUGGGUGCUUAGUAAGUACUUAAUAAACUGUGGUGCUUUUUUUGGCCUGUCUUUGGAUUGUUAAAAAACAGAGAGGGAUGCUUGGAUGUAAAACUGAACUUCAGAGCAUGAAAAUCACACUGUCUUCUGAUAUCUGCAGGGACAGAGCAUUGGGGUGGGGGUAAGGUGCAUCUGUUUGAAAAGUAAACGAUAAAAUGUGGAUUAAAGUGCCCAGCACAAAGCAGAUCCUCAAUAAACAUUUCAUUUCCCACCCACACUCGCCAGCUCACCCCAUCAUCCCUUUCCCUUGGUGCCCUCCUUUUUUUUUUAUCCUAGUCAUUCUUCCCUAAUCUUCCACUUGAGUGUCAAGCUGACCUUGCUGAUGGUGACAUUGCACCUGGAUGUACUAUCCAAUCUGUGAUGACAUUCCCUGCUAAUAAAAGACAACAUAACUCAAGUCUGGCAGACUUUCUUCUCUAUUUCUGGAUGAAUGCCCAGUGAGACUGUGUUGUACAGCUAGAAAAGGCCUUCUUCCCAAUAGCAAGGCUGUGCAUCUAGCCUCAAGCUCUGGCUGAACUUUGUGGUCGACAUCAAUCUAAAGAUACAGUGUCUGACUAUAACCUUGUUCCAAAAACCUAGGCAAAGAGUAUAUGUAGGAGGUGGGAUAUCACUUCCAUGACAUAAGUGCUAUUGCAGAGCCGUGGCCACCCAGGAACUCCUGACUGCUUUCC